AAGUCGGAAUCGCUAGUAAUCGUGGAUCAGAAUGCCACGGUGAAUACGUUCCCGGGCCUUGUACACACCGCCCGUCACACCAUGGGAGUGGGCUGCAAAAGAAGUAGGUAGUUUAACCUUCGGGGGGGCGCUUACCACUUUGUGGUUCAUGACUGGGGUGAAGUCGUAACAAGGUAGCGCUAGGGGAACCUGGCGCUGGAUCACCUCCUUAAACGAUGAU
rnacentral:rRNA from 1 species